GUAGCAUAAUCAUUUGUUAUUUAAUUGGUAACUGGAAUGAAUGGUUGGAUGAGAAAUAUGCUUUUUUAUCUUAAUGAUUGAAUUUAACUUUCAUGUCAAAAGGCGUGAGUUUUUUUAUGGGACGAAAAGACCCUAUAGAGCUUUACAUUGUGUUUUUAUAAGUAUUAUAGAUAUAAUAGACCUAUAAUUUAUUAAUGUUGUAUUGGGGUGAUAGAAAAAAUUUAAUAACUUUUAUUGUUUACUUCACUUAUAGGUGUUAUUGAUCCAUAUUUUAUGAUUGUAAGAUUAAGCUACCUUAGGGAUAACAGCGUUAUUAACUUGGAGAGUUCAUAUCGAUAAGUUAGUUUGCGACCUCGAUGUUGGAUUAAAAUAAGUUUCAGGUGUAGCAUUU
rnacentral:rRNA from 1 species